UUCCGAUUUCCCGGCAUGCAACGCUCCUUAAAAAAAAUGGCGGCCGAGGGCAUUCGCAACAAAUAGAUGUCAUCUUUUGCUUCUCCCACCGCGGAGUUUAUUCGUAUUAAGUUAAUAUUAGUGUUGUCAGCGGAGUCUUCACAAUGCCGAAAUAUUACGAGGAUAAGGAGGAAGACAACCGAGCCUGUGCCGGCAUAAGAGAGGACUUCAAGACAUGUCUCCUUCAACAUGACUGCGUCGUUAAGGAGGGGAAGAUGCCCAGUGAGUGCUUGAAGCAAGGCCACUGCAAAGCCCUGCAGAUCUCAUUCUUUGAAUGCAAGAGAUCCAUGCUGGACACAAGGUCAAGAUUCAGAGGAAGAAAAGGAUAUUAAAGAACUAAGAUGGCGUCACAUACCAACUGUGCCAGUGAAGCGUCUCCUCUUCCUCCUUGCUUGAACACGUCAAAAGGUGGAACUUUGUGUAAAAAGUUGCAGAACCCUGACUUAAGUGACCAAGCUUACCUUUGGAGUAUGGAAAGGAAGUUAAGCGUGUAACUGCUGAUGUUCUCAGAAAGUGCAAACGAAGAUCAGUUUCCAUAAACCUUUGGACAGCGAUAUAAAAAUGAUUGUGGCGCUGAUACUGAGAGGAAGCAAAACCACUAUAAAACAACCUACAGUCGCACUUGGACAUAAACAAAUCUCAUCAUCGGUGA